rnacentral:rRNA from 1 species
AUCUUGGUUCAGGAUAAACGCUGGCGGCGUGCUUAACACAUGCAAGUCGAACGGAGUAAUUCUCCCGAAGAUUGAAGAAGCUUGCUUCUGAAAGAUUCAUUUGAAUUACUUAGUGGCGGACGGGUGAGGUAACGCGUGGGAAACCUGGCCCUAUACUGGGGGAUAGCAGUUGGAAACGACUGAUAAUACCGCAUAAGCGCACAGCUUCGCAUGAGGCAGUGUGAAAAACUCCGGUGGUAUAGGAUGGUCCCGCGUCUGAUUAGCUAGUUGGUGAGGUAACGGCCCACCAAGGCGACGAUCAGUAGCCGGCCUGAGAGGGUGUACGGCCACAUUGGGACUGAGACACGGCCCAAACUCCUACGGGAGGCAGCAGUGGGGAAUAUUGGACAAUGGGGGAAACCCUGAAUCCAGCGACGCCGCGUGAACGAAGAAGUAUUUCGGUAUGUAAAGUUCUAUCAGCAGGGAAGAUAAUGACGGUACCUGACUAAGAAGCACCGGCUAAAUACGUGCCAGCCGCCGC